GCCGGGAAGGGGCAUGUUUGGUGCCAAGUGGAACUGCUGAAUGAGGAGCCUGGGGAGGAGGGAGAAAAGCAGAGAAAUUGGGGCCAGAAACUGAUCCAGAAGCAGAACCGACCCAAACACAGAGACUGAGGAGCUGCACCUGAAAGGGAAGA